GCAGGUGGCAAGCGUUGUCCGGAAUUAUUGGGCGUAAAGCGCGCGCAGGUGGUUCUUUAAGUCUGAUGUGAAACGCCCCCGGCUCGAACCGGGGGAGGGUCAUUGGAAACGUGGGGAACUUGAGUGCAGGAGAGGAAAGUGGAAUUCCACGUGUAGCGGUAGAAAUGCGUAGAUAUGUGGAGGAACACCAGUGGCGAAGGCGACUUUCUGGCCUGUAACUGACACUGAGGCGCGAAAGCGUGGGGAGCAAACAGGGAUUAGAUACCCUGGUAGUCCACGCCGUAAACGAUGAGUGCUAAGUGUUGGGGGGGUUUCCCGCCCCCUCAGUGCUGCAGCUAACGCAUUAAGCACUCCGCCUGGGGAGUACGGUCGCAAGACUG
rnacentral:rRNA from 1 species